rnacentral:snoRNA from 1 species
UCUCGUGAUGAUCAUCCUGAUAGGGACAUCUGAUGCAAAGCACUUGAUGUGAACAGGAAAGAAUAUUUUAGUAGAUGCUUCUUUAUAUCUGAAG